rnacentral:rRNA from 1 species
CACCGCGGUUAUACGAGAGGCUCAAGCUGAUAAACACCGGCGUAAAAUGUGGUUAACAUAUUAAUGUACUAAAGCUAAACAUCUUCAAAGCUGUUAUACCCACACGAAGCCAGGAAAACCUUCUACGAAAGUGGCUUUAAAUAAUGCUAACCCACGAAAACUAGGAAA